GAUGAACGCUGGCGGCGUGCCUAAUACAUGCAAGUCGAGCGAACAGACGAGGAGCUUGCUCCUCUGACGUUAGCGGCGGACGGGUGAGUAACACGUGGAUAACCUACCUAUAAGACUGGGAUAACUUCGGGAAACCGGAGCUAAUACCGGAUAAUAUAUUGAACCGCAUGGUUCAAUAGUGAAAGACGGUUUUGCUGUCACUUAUAGAUGGAUCCGCGCCGCAUUAGCUAGUUGGUAAGGUAACGGCUUACCAAGGCAACGAUGCGUAGCCGACCUGAGAGGGGGGUCGGCCACAGGGGAAGUGGAAACCGGUCCAGAACCCGACGGGGGGCAGAAGGAGGGAAUCUUCCGCAAUGGGCGAAAGCUUGACGGAGCAACGCCGCGGGAGUGAUGAAGGUCUUCGGAUCGUAAAACGCUGUUAUUAGGGAAGAACAAAUGUGUAAGUAAAAAUGCACGUCUUGACGGUACCGAAUCAAAAGGCCAGGGCUAACUACGU
rnacentral:rRNA from 1 species